UACAGAGGGUGCAAGCGUUAAUCGGAAUUACUGGGCGUAAAGCGUGCGUAGUCGGUUAUUUAAGUCGGGUGUGAAAGCCCCGGGCUCAACCUGGGAAUUGCAUUCGAUACUGGAUAGCUAGAGUUCGGCAGAGGGAAGCGGAAUUUCCGGUGUAGCGGUGAAAUGCGUAGAUAUCGGAAGGAACAUCAGUGGCGAAAGCGGCUUCCUGGACCAGAACUGACGAUCAGGCACGAAAGCGUGGGGAGCAAACAGGG
rnacentral:rRNA from 1 species